AUUGAACGCUGGCGGCAGGCCUAACACAUGCAAGUCGAACGGCAGCACAGAAGAGCUUGCUCUUUGGGUGGCGAGUGGCGGACGGGUGAGUAAUGUCUGGGAAACUGCCCGAUGGAGGGGGAUAACUACUGGAAACGGUAGCUAAUACCGCAUAACGUCGCAAGACCAAAGUGGGGGACCUUCGGGCCUCACACCAUCGGAUGUGCCCAGAUGGGAUUAGCUAGGAGGUGGGGCAAUGGCUCACCUAGGCGACGAUCCCUAGCUGGUCUGAGGGGAGGACCAGCCACACUGGAACUGAGACACGGUCCAGACUCCUACGGGAGGCAGCAGUGGGGAAUAUUGCGCAAUGGGAGUAAGCCUGAUGCAGCCAUGCCGCGUGUAUGAAGAAGGCCUUCGGGUUGUAAAGUACUUUCAGCGGGGAGGAAGGCGGUGAGGUUAAUAACCUCGCCGAUUGACGUUACCCGCAGAAGAAGCACCGGCUAACUCCGUGCCAGCAGCCGCGGUAA
rnacentral:rRNA from 1 species